UCUCAAACACCCUGUGGAGCACCCUGUGGUAAUUACAGAGCACUCUGUAGUAAUUACAGAGAAACCUGUGGUAAUUACAGAGCACCCUGUGGUAAUUACAGAGCACCCUGUAGUAAUUACAGCGCACCCUGUGGUAAUUACAGCGCACCCUGAGGUAAUUACAGCGCACCCUGUGGUAAUUACAGUGCACCCUGUGGUAAUUACAGUGCACCCUGAGGUAAUUACAGUGCACCCUGAGGUAAUUACAGAGCACCCUGAGGUAAUUACAGAGCACCCUGUGGUAAUUACAGAGCACCCUGUGGUAAUUACAGUGCACCCUGAGGUAAUUACAGUGCACCCUGAGGUAAUUACAGAGCACCCUGAGGUAAUUACAGAGCACCCUGUGGUAAUUACAGAGCACCCUGUAGUAAUUACAGCGCACCCUGUGGUAAUUACAGCGCACCCUGAGGUA
rnacentral:lncRNA from 1 species